GGGUUGUGAGGUUAAGCGAAUAAGCGUACACGGUGGAUGCCUAGGCAAUCAGAGGCGAUGAAGGACGUGCUAAUCUGCGAAAAGCGUCGGUAAGGUGAUAUGAACCGUUAUACCCGACGAUAUCCGAAUGGGGAAACCCAGUAUCCAAUGGAUACUAUCAUUAACUGAAUCCAUAGGUUAAUGAGGCGAACCGGGAGAACUGAAACAUCUCAGUACCCCGAGGAAAAGAAAUCAACCGAGAUUCCCCUAGUAGCGGCGAGCGAACGGGGAGCAGCCCAGAGUCUUAAUCAAUAGCAGUGUCAGGAGAACGGUCUGGAAAGUCCGGCAGUAAAGGGUGAUAGCCCCGUAUCUGAAGAUGCUGUUAUUGUGAACUCGACGAGUAGGGCGGGACACGUGUUAUCCUGUCUGAAUAUGGGGGGACCAUCCUCCAAGGCUAAAUACUCCUGAUUGACCGAUAGUGAACCAGUACCGUGAGGGAAAGGCGAAAAGAACCCCGGCGAGGGGAGUGAAAAAGAACCUGAAACCGUGUACGUACAAGCAGUAGGAGCCUCUUUAUGGGGUGACUGCGUACCUUUUGUAUAAUGGGUCAGCGACUUAUAUUCUGUAGCAAGGUUAACCGUAUAGGGGAGCCGUAGGGAAACCGAGUCUUAACUGGGCGAAUGAGUUGCAGGGUAUAGACCCGAAACCCGGUGAUCUAUCCAUGGGCAGGUUGAAGGUUGGGUAACACUAACUGGAGGACCGAACCGACUAAUGUUGAAAAAUUAGCGGAUGACUUGUGGAUGGGGGUGAAAGGCCAAUCAAACCGGGAGAUAGCUGGUUCUCCCCGAAAGCUAUUUAGGUAGCGCCUCGUGAACUCAUCUUCGGGGGUAGAGCACUGUUUCGACUAGGGGGUCAUCCCGACUUACCAACUCGAUGCAAACUGCGAAUACCGAAGAAUGUUAUCACGGGAGACACACGGCGGGUGCUAACGUCCGUCGUGAAGAGGGAAACAACCCAGACCGCCAGCUAAGGUCCCAAAGUCAUGGUUAAGUGGGAAACGAAGUGGGAAGGCUCAGACAGCCAGGAUGUUGGCUUAGAAGCAGCCAUCAUUUAAAGAAAGCGUAAUAGCUCACUGGUCGAGUCGGCCCGCGCGGAAGAUGUAACGGGGCUAAACCAUGCACCGAAGCUGCGGCAGCGACACAAAGUGUUGUUGGGUAGGGGAGCGUUCUGUAAGCCUGCGAAGGUGUACUGUGAGGUAUGCUGGAGGUAUCAGAAGUGCGAAUGCUGACAUAAGUAACGAUAAUGCGGGUGAAAAACCCGCACGCCGGAAGACCAAGGGUUCCUGUCCAACGUUAAUCGGGGCAGGGUGAGUCGACCCCUAAGGCGAGGCUGAAAAGCGUAGUCGAUGGGAAACGGGUUAAUAUUCCCGUACUGGUGGUAACUGCGAUGGGGGAACGGAGAAGGCUAGGUUGUCCGGGCGACGGUCGUCCCGGUUCAAGCAGGUAGGCAGAGUGAUUAGGCAAAUCCGGUCACUUAAUGCUGAGAUGUGAUGACGAACCACCAAGGUGGUGAAGCAAUUGAUGCCCCGCUUCCAGGAAAAGCCUCUAAGCUUCAGGUUACCAACAAUCGUACCCCAAACCGACACAGGUGGUCAGGUAGAGAAUACUCAGGCGCUUGAGAGAACUCGGGUGAAGGAACUAGGCAAAAUGGUGCCGUAACUUCGGGAGAAGGCACGCUGGCGGUAGGUAAAGUCCCUUGCGGACGGCGCUGAAGCCAGUCGAAGAUACCAGCUGGCUGCAACUGUUUAUUAAAAACACAGCACUGUGCAAACACGAAAGUGGACGUAUACGGUGUGACGCCUGCCCGGUGCUGGAAGGUUAAUUGAUGGGGUUAGCGUAAGCGAAGCUCCUGAUCGAAGCCCCAGUAAACGGCGGCCGUAACUAUAACGGUCCUAAGGUAGCGAAAUUCCUUGUCGGGUAAGUUCCGACCUGCACGAAUGGCGUAAUGAUGGCCAGGCUGUCUCCACCCGAGACUCAGUGAAAUUGAACUCGCUGUGAAGAUGCAGUGUACCCGCGGCAAGACGGAAAGACCCCGUGAACCUUUACUAUAGCUUGACACUGAACAUUGAGCCUUGAUGUGUAGGAUAGGUGGGAGGCUUUGAAGUGUGGACGCCAGUCUGCAUGGAGCCAACCUUGAAAUACCACCCUUUAACGUUUGAUGUUCUAACCUAGGCCCAUAAACUGGGUCGGGGACCGUGUCUGGUGGGUAGUUUGACUGGGGCGGUCUCCUCCUAAAGAGUAACGGAGGAGCACGAAGGUUGGCUAAGCAUGGUCGGACAUCAUGCGGUUAGUGCAAAGGCAUAAGCCAGCUUGACUGCGAGAGUGACGGCUCGAGCAGGUACGAAAGUAGGUCUUAGUGAUCCGGUGGUUCUGAAUGGAAGGGCCAUCGCUCAACGGAUAAAAGGUACUCCGGGGAUAACAGGCUGAUACCGCCCAAGAGUUCAUAUCGACGGCGGUGUUUGGCACCUCGAUGUCGGCUCAUCACAUCCUGGGGCUGAAGUAGGUCCCAAGGGUAUGGCUGUUCGCCAUUUAAAGUGGUACGCGAGCUGGGUUUAGAACGUCGUGAGACAGUUCGGUCCCUAUCUGCCGUGGGCGUUGGAAGAUUGAGAGGGGUUGCUCCUAGUACGAGAGGACCGGAGUGAACGCACCACUGGUGUUCGGGUUGUCAUGCCAAUGGCAUUGCCCGGUAGCUAAGUGCGGAAGAGAUAACCGCUGAAAGCAUCUAAGCGGGAAACUUGCCUCGAGAUGAGUCUUCCCUGUCGCUUUAAGCGACCUAAAGGAACGUUUAAGACUAAGACGUUGAUAGGCUGGGUGUGUAAGCGUAGCGAUACGUUGAGCUAACCAGUACUAAUGAACCGUGAGGCUUAACCUGACAACACCGAAAGUGUUUUG
rnacentral:rRNA from 1 species